CAGUAGCCGCGGUAAAACGUAGGGUGCAAGCGUUAAUCGGAAUUACUGGGCGUAAAGCGUGCGCAGGCGGUUCUAUAAGACAGAUGUGAAAUCCCCGGGCUCAACCUGGGAACUGCAUUUGUGACUGUAGAGCUGGAGUGCGGCAGAGGGGGAUGGAAUUCCGCGUGUAGCAGUGAAAUGCGUAGAUAUGCGGAGGAACACCGAUGGCGAAGGCAAUCCCCUGGGCCUGCACUGACGCUCAUGCACGAAAGCGUGGGGAGCAAACAGGAUUAGAUACCCCCGUAGUCCCUGUCUCUUAUAC
rnacentral:rRNA from 1 species